rnacentral:tRNA from 1 species
GGUUCCGUGUUGUAGUUCGGUCUAUCAUGUUGGCUUGUCACGCCAGCAACCCGGGUUCAAAUCCCGGCGGAACCG